rnacentral:rRNA from 1 species
GACAGAGGGUGCAAGCGUUGUUCGGAAUCAUUGGGCGUAAAGGGCGCGUAGGCGGUUUUGUAAGUCAGAUGUGAAAGCCCAGGGCUCAACCUUGGAAGUGCAUCUGAAACUACUGAACUAGAGUAUCGGAGAGGGUGGUGGAAUUCCCAGUGUAGAGGUGAAAUUCGUAGAUAUUGGGAGGAACACCGGUGGCGAAGGCGACCGCCUGGACGAAUACUGACGCUGAGGCGCGAGAGCGUGGGGAGCAAACAGG